rnacentral:rRNA from 1 species
UUUUUUUGGGGGGGGGGGGACUACAAGGUUUCCGUAGGUGAACCUGCGGAAGGAUCAUUG